rnacentral:lncRNA from 1 species
UGUUCUACAGGUUACAGUGUUAAGUAUGAAGUCUCUAAUCUUAAAUUGUGUCUUUUCAAAUUUUAGCUAAGUCUGGCGCACGAGCAUUCCUGGCUUGGACUGCAGCAGGAGCUAGGGUGGGUCAGAGAGUGCUCCAAUGUAUGCUGCCAGCAGUAGGAGCUGAGGGACUUUUUGAAAGCCUGGAGAACUUGACCAGAGACACCUCUAACUGUACCGUCUCCAAAACCUCGCAUGCAGAAACCAGCACAGAACAUGUGAUUAUCUACUGCUUAUAGGAAUGAAUAAUGAUCUCCCACUGACUGGCAUAUCAGUCUGGAGAACAUGAAAUGCAGCAAAGCUGAUCCUGUGGCACCACUUUUCUCUAGGGCGCAAGUCUUAGACCUUCAGGGGAAAUCUUUAGAACAGAUACACUAUCACAGGAUUUACUUUACUGACAGAAAGCUCCUGAUGACUUUUGUCCUUUCAGUUUGGAGGAGUAUUAUUCGUCUGCCAUCAUUUUUACGUGAGAGAAGAGUAAGGAAAAUGUUAGACAAAAGAAAACUUGUGUUUCCAUCUAAACCCUCUAACCGGACUACAGGGCCUCUGGUAGAUUGGAGAGAGAUAUGUUGAAGAGUCAUCAGGAUUUGGCACUUGAUGGGAACCAGGAGGUGCUGCAUAGGCUAUGUAAGUAGUCUGAGCUCCUGGCACUGCGUUUGCAUGGUGCGCUGUGAUGAGGUGUGGAACGUAUGAUGUGGAACAUGGGGAUUCUUUUUGA